rnacentral:rRNA from 1 species
UUUGGCCUGAUGACCAUAGCGAGUCGGUCCCACCCCCUUCCCAUCCCGAACAGGACCGUGAAACGACUCUACGCCGAUGAUAGUGCGGAUUCCCGUGUGAAAGUAGGUAAUCGUCAGGC